rnacentral:lncRNA from 1 species
UACUGUGGAGUCAACUGAGCCUUCACCAAUUGGCCCAAGUAUCCCCCCAGGGAGGCAGCUUCACGGAAAGGUAGACCAGGCAUGAAGGGUGCAGCUAGCAAGGACAGUCCCUUGCUACUCAGCCCUGCCUCCCACUGCCCCAUCUCUGCACCCCAAGAGCCGCGUAUAGGAAGCUGCUGUCCCUCAGCCAGCACAGCACCAGGACUGGAGGUUGCCCAGCUGGUGGCUUUGAGCCCUGAGGGCAAUUCAUCACGUCUACAGGAUUCAUUUCCAUGAGAGUCUGCUGCAUCCAGCCUCCUGAACAGAAUAGCAAUAACCAGGUGCAUAAGACAGAGCCAAAAAACAUAGCAAGGAAAGAAAUGAGAGCACCGGAGGAAAGGCAUGGACAGCUAGGCUUCCUUACCUGUCCCCAGUGCUUGUUUCUGCUCCCCCUGCCCUCCAGCCAUGUUCAGGACCUGGCUGAUCACAAGAACUUGCUGGCCACACUCAGGCCAUGGCUGGGAUUCCAUGACAGCAAAUGUCCCCACCGCAGAGACCUCAGAAGUGUAGAUCCAGAGAAUGAGGACAGGACUUGGAAUUUUCCACAGGAUGGUCUCUUCUCCCACCUACCACCCUCCUCCUCCCUCCACCCAGCAUUAGAUCUGGGCCUUCUCUCCAUUCUGUGUU